GACGAACGCUGGCGGCGUGCCUAACACAUGCAAGUCGAGCGAGGAACUUCGGUUCCUAGCGGCGGACGGGUGAGUAACACGUGGGUAACCUGCCUCAUAGUGGGGGAUAGCCUUCCGAAAGGAAGAUUAAUACCGCAUAUUCUCUUUUUAUCGCAUGGUAGAGAGAGGAAAGGAGCAAUCCGCUAUGAGAUGGACCCCGCGGCGCAUUAGCUAGUUGGUGAGGUAACGGCUCACCAAGGCCACGAUGCGUAGCCGACCUGAGAGGGUGAUCGGCCACAUUGGAACUGAGACACGGUCCAGACUCCUACGGGUGGCUG
rnacentral:rRNA from 1 species